GUUCUCACUUCAGCAGUUCAUAUACUAAGAUCAGAAUGAUACAGAGAUUAGCAUGCCCUCUGCACAAGGAUGACAUGUAAUUUCAUGAAGCAUUCCAUAUUUUG
ensembl:snRNA U6 U6 spliceosomal RNA